AACUGGACACAGUAUUCGGGAAGCAGUCGCACCAGUGCCAAAUACAGAGGUAAAAUAACCUCUCUGCUCCUAUUCGUGAUUCCCCUGUUUAUGGAUCCCAGGAUCUUUUUGGCCGUAGUGUCAUGCUAGCUCAGAUUCAGCUGAUUAUUCACCAUGCCUCCCCCCCUAAUUUUUCUGCAGAGAGAGUUGUGGCUCUCAGUCCUGGAGUUAAUAACUUAAGCAUUGAGGGGCAGGGCUUAGACCCCGCUUCUCUCCUCAGCAUUUCCCACUGGUUAGCUUAGGCAGCUCAGCAGACUGGCACCUGUGGAUCCCAUUCAUAGGCACCUAACUCUCCUCAUGUCUUGUAUAGGGGACUGGGAACCUAACUCAGGCCUUGGAGGAUUCCACUGAGCAGAAGAGCACAUAAAAGUUGUUGUGCUGCCUACAUCCCUUUGUGGAGCUUGCUGCAAGACAAUUUUUGUAAGUCAGUUGGACUUGGGGAUUUUGAAGAAUGUACACUGCCUAGAGACAGCUCUAGGUGGCAUUAGGCCUCUAUAUUUAAUUUUGGGGCUCUUUUCUGCAUCAGUUUUCCCACCUGCAAAUUGUAACUAGCACCUCCCUGCUAGGGGUGUUUGUAAAGUGAUUUGAACUCAUCUAGAGAAGGGAAAAGUGGAUGUGGGGGACAUGAAGCUCAGGGAUAAGUAAGAAAUGUGUUUAUUGGUUCAUAAAUAGGACACACCUAAUCAAGUAAAAACAACAAUUCCACAAGGGUUUUAGUUAUUCCUCCAGUUCCAAAGAUUUGUGCUUUGUAACCUUUUGCUUUUCCUCACAGUGGGAGUUUUUUUCUAUCAGACCAUCCAGCACUGAGACCCCAAUAGAUCUAGGUAAGGCUGAGUCAGUAUUUGGGUGUAAGAUGCCUAGAAAAUACCUAGUUUGCUGCAAGAAGUGGGGGUGGUAUGUUGUAAGUAGUGCUCUUCUGUCUGACUUGGUAUGGAUCAAAUGCCCCAGGAUAAUAUGGAUGAACAAGGAGGUGCCUUCUUUCUGAAGAGACAUAAGACACGUGAAGAUUUCACAGAACUUUUGUCAGAAAUUACACUCUGCCCCCUGCACUUUGAACUGGUGUGAUGGAGUGCAACUCACCAGUGCAGCACCUCCUGCUCGCUGUCUCAGGGAUUAGCUCUACUAGCCCAUGUGCCCUCUUCUAGUGGUGUCUUGCUACCAUCACUUCUGCUCCCAUCACUGCCAAGACCAUGGCAUCCUCCCCAUGACACAGCCCUCUGGUUGUGCCACGCUCUGUUCUCCCCCUUCUGGAGAAACUGCAGUCCACUGUCCAGCAACUUCCUUCAGUGGCAACUGCAGCCAAUUGUAUGGCCACUUCCUCAGUAGCCAGGGAAUGGGGCAGGGCUGCCCUCUAUUCCAGUCCUGGCCCAGGGACCCUGUAGAUAGCCACUACUUACGUCCCCUCCAACUCCUCAGUUAAUUUCUCUAGGCCACUUCCCUUGGCCCCCAGCACCUUCUUUGCCCUUACCUCAGGGCUUCAGCCUGUCCAUCUUAGUAGCUAACCAGGAGCUCUCUCUAGCUUCUCCCAUCCCUGCUACCAGCACUGUUCUGUCCAGGGUGCUAGCAUGUCCACCUCUUGCUAGGAGCCUGAUUUUAUUUUCUCAAGCUCCACGCUGCUACUGAAGUUCCUCUGCCUUGCAGCCCUUAUAUGGGUCUGGCCAACCCUCAUUGGCUGCUCCUCACAGCCCCUCUCCAAUUGGCUGCUUUCUGUGCUGCCUCACUAGAGCUCCAUUAACCCCUUACAAGCCAGUGUGAGGUGGAUGCCCCAUCACAGCUGGACACAAAAAUCUUAUUCACUGCUUUUCCUUCUUGUGUGCUGCUGCUAUACAGCUGUCAUGUCCUACUUCAGUGCAGUGGGGGAAUUUAUAUGUAUAAAUCCUGUUAGCAUCUGUGAGAGUCAUUUGUGAAAAUUUCCACUGCUGUGUGGAGAGAAUACACCCUUUAACCUGGGAAGCACUGGUGCUUACACACUGUAAAAUAAAAUUUAAAAAAGCAACACUAAUGCCAAUGGCCAAACUUUGUUCAAUAGCUGUAUGCGUUAGCUCAGGCAAACCUGAGUGUUAGCUUACUCCUAAUCUGCAUAAAAUAGGGCAGAUUGCACCCAUCCUCAGCUUUAAUAUGAAGGUUCAGGCCGUAGGGAGUAUAGGUUCCAGCACACAGAACUUCAUCUUAUGUCUAGAACAGUCUGGCAUUAGAUACCUGUAGCUGUUGUGGUAAAAAUUCUGUAUGAAAAAUUAAUACAGCUGCAGGCUGUACUGUCGAUUUCCAUUUGCUGUAUUUAGCCACCCCAAACUUAAAGGGACUCUCAAGAACAGCUGUAAAAUGUGAUGUACCUUGAUUUUUUUCUUAAGACCAUGUUCAAACUUCAUGCCAGUCUUUGGAGGUAGGCUCUUUUUCCUCUACCACUUCGAUACUUUUUGUCCCUGUGCUUACCAAAAUAAACCUACCUCAAAACAGUGGCUGAAACAGAGUCUUGGAGAGCAGCUCUAUUAUGCCACCCCAAGGUAUGUUCAUAUUCCAGGGAACCAUGAUCAGAAAACAGCUUUAAAAUUUCAAGAUUCCAAAGAAUGGAGUGUGGUUAGAGCAGGGCCUGGGAACCAGGACUCCUCUACUUGUUGCCAAUGCUGUUGCUGGACUUGUUUGUGACUGUUGAUAAAUCACCUUAGUUUUUCAGUGCAUCUAUUUACCUAAUUGCAAAAUGGAAAUUCCACUAUCUUUCUAAAGCAUAAUGAGAUCUUUUGAUUCAUUAUUACAAGCAUUUAUUUGGCACCUACUAACAUGGUACAAAGUUUAAAUGGAGACACUUAAGAUCUCAAUAGGAGAAACUAAACACUCUGCUCCUCUUCUGCGGAAAGGUGGUCUUGUGCAAGUGCAAAGGAUUUAUUACUGGUUCUUUGGAUUUUAUGAAGAGUUUGCUUGGCUCCCACUUAUUAUCUUAAUGAAGGACCUCAGCGUAGAGACUCUGUGUACCACGAACUGCCUGUCUGCCAUUCAGUUGGGUGCAUUUAAGCCUGCUGUGUAAUUUGGGGUGCUCCAUUGCACUAGUUGUUCAAGCAGCAUGGUAGGUUAAUGUGUGCAAAAUUGAAGGGGAGGCAGCAAACACUUACUGACACAGCUGAGGACGUAGCUGUUAAGCUAUCUCAUUUUCUUGAAAAGCCUGUGAAUCAACAGCAAUUAGUCAACCCCCCACAGUAAGCUGCUCAGUUCACAUGAGGGAUGAUCUGACAAAGAGGGUGUGCUAUAUAUAACAGCCGUGGCUAUUGUUCAUGCUGAGAAAAACAAGUAAUGUUUAGCACUGAGUCAAGUGAAUCAAACAUUCACAUAUAUUUGCUGAAAAAAUUAUAUACAUCUGUGGCAAGGCUCUGCCAAGUUUGAAAGAUAAGCAUCAUCUAGUCACUAAAUUAAAAAAAUAAAAAUUUGACUUUUAAAUCUUGUUCUUUUUAUCCAUGUUCAAGAGCACAGACAGUUUAUUUUAUUAGCACAUUUGGUGGAAAAUGUAUGUUUGUGUGAGUGUCCAUGAAAGUGGUGAAAACUGGGUAUUUGUUCUAGGAUAUGAUGAUGGAAAGUAAUAAGAAGCCACUUAUGCCUUACAAUGUAAAUAAUCCACAGAGUUUCUCUAUCAUUUCAAAAAGGGUCACACAAUAGCAGCCAAAGAGAAGCCUAAACACCCAGAGACUUAACAUACAUGUUUGAUAAGUAAGAACAUGCUGGCUAGUUAAAUACAUUUCACUUUGAACCCUGUUCCUUAUGAGUGCAACCCUGGAAAAACAACCAUCCCAUAUAAGAAAUGGACUCUGCAGAGAUUUCUAUACCCAUUCACAGUAAGGCUUUGAAGAUAUAUGAAGUUUUAUAGCAUUUGUAUUUUAAGGAUUUAGGGCAAGUACAUGUUCUACUAAGUAAAAAGAAAGUUAGUACUUAAAAGGUUCAAAAAUAUAUCAAUCAAGUGAUUUUUUUACAUAAAUAAAUUAUAUUGAUUUUGGAUUUAACAGCUGAAAAAACCCUUUCUGCUUCCACUGGAGGCAAAACUGAACAAACUGUUAGUUAAAUAGAGAUAGCAGCAUUUCUAAGAAAUCUGUCGAUAAUGAUACAGUAUCUAUGCUACAAGGGUGGUAUUAAAUAGAACACAUUUAAUGAUCCGAUUUUUUUGCAUUAUGAUCAGUUACAUAAUUUUUUUUUUAAAUCGCAUCCAAUUCAAUAAAGUGGGACUAAAUUCCUUGAUAAUAUAAAUUUUUAGGUCAUGGGUAACAGACUUCUUUGAGAUGCUAAUUGUAACAUGUACAUAAUUUAUAAUCCCAAAUGUAUAAAAGACAAUGACACAAAGCAUCAUAAAUAAAUAAUGCAAACUGAAAUAGUUAUGUCAAAACAUUUGGACCAUCUGAUAAAUUAGGAAAACUGUAACAGAAAAUAAGUAAAAAAUACAGUAAAUGGUGACAAUCAAAUGCAAAACUGAUUACUAGCACACUUCAGCUCCCUCAAACAGUCUGCCAUUUCACUGCUGCACCACUAAGUGUUUAUUUCAAGUCUCAAACCAUGAGCUGCAAAUAAGAACAAGCCCAAGUGAAAGAAAAACUAAACAGGAGCAGUGAGGAGAGAGGACUACAUGGAGUUUACCUGUGGAGGUGUCUCAAGACACAGAGUUUGGGGGACUGAUCACAUUAAAAACCCAUUAAUUUAAAACGCAUACUUAGAAUUAUUUGCCAACGGUACUGCUAGGAAACACUGUUCAACAGCAAAUAGAAGAAAGAGGAAUGGAAAGAAGAAGCAAAAAUAAUCUCUUCACAGUCUAAUCCUAGAAAAGGAAGAUAAACACAAGCUUUGAAAACCUCAACAAUCCUUCUCAAAGGACUCACAAUUGUAAAGCCAGCCCAACAGCUUUCUGUUUAUUUUGUUUUUGUUUUCAGAAAAGAUGUCACUUAUGGGGGGAGGAGAACUGUAAAAAAAAAUUUAAAAACUCAAAAGCCUCAGUAUUCAUAUUAGAGCAUUGUAUGAGUGGCCUGUUCAUUGCUG